rnacentral:rRNA from 1 species
GACGAACGCUGGCGGCGUGCUUAACACAUGCAAGUCGAACGGAAAGGCCCUGCUUUUGUGGGGUGCUCGAGUGGCGAACGGGUGAGUAACACGUGAGUAACCUGCCCUUGACUUUGGGAUAACUUCAGGAAACUGGGGCUAAUACCGGAUAGGAGCUCCUGCUGCAUGGUGGGGGUUGGAAAGUUUCGGCGGUUGGGGAUGGACUCGCGGCUUAUCAGCUUGUUGGUGGGGUAGUGGCUUACCAAGGCUUUGACGGGUAGCCGGCCUGAGAGGGUGACCGGCCACAUUGGGACUGAGAUACGGCCCAGACUCCUACGGGAGGCAGCAGUGGGGAAUAUUGCACAAUGGGCGGAAGCCUGAUGCAGCAACGCCGCGUGCGGGAUGCCGGCCUUCGGGUUGUAAACCGCUUUCGCCUGUGACGAAGCGGGAGUGACGGUAAUGGGUAAAGAAGCACCGGCUAACUACGUG